UACGUAGGGUGCGAGCGUUAAUCGGAAUUACUGGGCGUAAAGCGUGCGCAGGCGGUUUUGUAAGACAGAUGUGAAAUCCCCGGGCUUAACCUGGGAACUGCGUUUGUGACUGCAAUGCUAGAGUACGGCAGAGGGGGGUGGAAUUCCUGGUGUAGCAGUGAAAUGCGUAGAUAUCAGGAGGAACACCGAUGGCGAAGGCAGCCCCCUGGGCCUGUACUGACGCUCAUGCACGAAAGCGUGGGGAGCAAACAGGAUUAGAUACC
rnacentral:rRNA from 1 species